AUGGUGAAGCCGCGAAUGGCUCAUUACAACAGCCACUGUUUACUUGAUCUUGAUUAUCCUACUUGGAUAACUGUGGUAAUUCUAGAGCUAAUACACGCAAUAAAGCUCCGACCUUACGGGACGAGCGCAUUUAUUAGACCAAAACCAAUCGGGCCUCGGCCUGAACGGUGGUGACUCUGAAUAACUGAGCUGAUCGCAUGGUCUUUGUACCGGCGACGCAUCUUUCAAGUGUCUGCCUUAUCAACUUUCGAUGGUAGUUUAUGUGCCUACCAUGGUUGUUACGGGUAACGGAGAAUAAGGGUUCGACUCCGGAGAGGGAGCCUGAGAAACGGCUACCACAUCCAAGGAAGGCAGCAGGCGCGCAAAUUACCCACUCUCGGCACGAGGAGGUAGUGACGAAAAAUAACGAGGCGGUUCUCUAAGAGGCCCGCUAUCGGAAUGGGUACAAUUUAAACCCUUUAACGAGGACCUAUGAGAGGGCAAGUCUGGUGCCAGCAGCCGCGGUAAUUCCAGCUCUCAAGGUGUAUAUCG
rnacentral:rRNA from 1 species